CAUGGCANUCGAACGGCAGCACGGACUUCGGUCUGGUGGCGAGUGGCGAACGGGUGAGUAACAUAUCGGAACGUAUCCAAUAAUGGGGGAUAACUAAUCGAAAGGUUGGCUAAUACCGCAUACGCCCUACGGGGGAAAGCAGGGGAUCUUCGGACCUUGCGUUAAUGGAGCGGCUGAUAUCUGAUUAGCUAGUUGGUGAGGUAAAGGCUCACCAAGGCGACGAUCAGUAGCUGGUCUGAGAGGACGACCAGCCACACUGGAACUGAGACACGGUCCAGACUCCUACGGGAGGCAGCAGUGGGGAAUUUUGGACAAUGGGCGCAAGCCUGAUCCAGCCAUUCCGCGUGAGUGAAGAAGGCCUUCGGGUUGUAAAGCUCUUUCGCAAGGGAAGAAAACUUACUUUCUAAUAAAGAGUGAGGUUGACGGUACCUUGAUAAGAAGCACCGGCUAACUACGUGCCAGCAGCCGCGGUAAUACGUAGGGUGCGAGCGUUAAUCGGAAUUACUGGGCGUAAAGCGUGCGCAGGCGGUUUUGUAAGUCAGAUGUGAAAUCCCCGAGCUCAACUUGGGAACUGCGUUUGAAACUACAAGACUAGAAUAUGUCAGAGGGGGGUAGAAUUCCACGUGUAGCAGUGAAAUGCGUAGAGAUGUGGAGGAAUACCAAUGGCGAAGGCAGCCCCCUGGGAUAAUAUUGACGCUCAUGCACGAAAGCGUGGGGAGCAAACAGGAUUAGAUACCCUGGUAGUCCACGCCCUAAACGAUGUCUACUAGUUGUUGGUGGAGUAAAAUCCAUGAGUAACGCAGCUAACGCGUGAAGUAAACCGCCUGGGGAGUACGG
rnacentral:rRNA from 1 species